AUGUGAGCUGUCUGUCUGCCUGUGACUUCUGCCAUCCUAUUGGUUGCCAGGGUUCAUUCACCGAUCUGGCUGGGUGGGUGGGGGUCUCCUUCCUUCCCAGCUCCAUAUGUGUGUGUCAUUCCCUAAGCUGCACACUCUUGCCACAGAGGAGCAUCCCUCCUCAGACAAGGGUAUACAGCAGCUGUGCUCCCCCACAGGAUUCCAAAUGAGCUCUCAAAUAGAUGUACUAGCUCAGGAUCUGUCAUCUGUAUCUCCAGCCUUUGGGAUCACACUUGUGCUGUCCUCAGAG
rnacentral:snRNA from 1 species